CCUACGGGAGGCAGCAGUGGGGAAUAUUGCACAAUGGGCGAAAGCCUGAUGCAGCGACGCCGCGUGAGGGAUGACGGCCUUCGGGUUGUAAACCUCUUUCAGCAGGGAAGAAGCGUAAGUGACGGUACCUGCAGAAGAAGCGCCGGCUAACUACGUGCCAGCAGCCGCGGUAAUACGUAGGGCGCAAGCGUUGUCCGGAAUUAUUGGGCGUAAAGAGCUCGUAGGCGGUCUGUCGCGUCUGGUGUGAAAUCCCAUGGCUCAACUGUGGGCUUGCAUCGGGUACGGGCAGACUAGAGUGCUGUAGGGGAGACUGGAAUUCCUGGUGUAGCGGUGGAAUGCGCAGAUAUCAGGAGGAACACCGAUGGCGAAGGCAGGUCUCUGGGCAGUUACUGACGCUGAGGAGCGAAAGCAUGGGGAGCGAACAGGAUUAGAUACCCU
rnacentral:rRNA from 1 species